rnacentral:rRNA from 1 species
UCAGAUGGGAAGAAAACUCGGCGGUUAAUACCCGUCGAGCUGACGGUACCAUCAGAGGAAGCACGGCUAACUCCGUGCCAGCAGCCGCGGUAAUACGGAGGGUGCAAGCGUUGUUCGGGUUCACUGGGUAUAAAGGGUGCGCAGGCGGCCCGAUAAGUCAGGGGUGAAAUAUGACGGCUUAACCGUCAAACUGCCCCUGAAACUGUCAGGCUUGAGUUCGAGAGAGGUAGGUGGAAUUCCAGGUGUAGCGGUGAAAUGCGUAAAUAUCUGGAGGAACACCGGUGGCGAAGGCGGCCUACUGGCUCGAUACUGACGCUCAGGCACGAAAGCAUGGGGAGCGAACGGGAUUAGAUACCCCGGUAGUCCAUGCCGUAAACGAUGGGUACUAGGUGUUGGAGGAUUCUACCCCUUCAGUGCCGCAGCUAACGCAUUAAGUACCCCACCUGGGGAGUACGAUCGCAAGGUUGAAACUCAAAGGAAUUGACGGGGGCCCGCACAAGCGGUGGAGCAUGUGGUUUAAUUCGAUGCAACGCGAAGAACCUUACCUGGGCUUGACAUGCAGGGGACAGAUGUAGAAUACAUCCUUCUUCGGACUCCUGUACAGGUGCUGCAUGGCUGUCGUCAGCUCGUGUCGUGAAAUGUUGGGUUAAGUCCCGCAACGAGCGCAACCCUUGUCUUUAGUUGCCAUCAGGUUAUGCUGGGGACUCUAGAGAGACUGCCGGUGACAAACCGGAGGAAGGUGGGGACGACGUCAAGUCAUCAUGGCCCUUACGCCCAGGGCUACACACGUGCUACAAUGGUCGGUACAAUGGGCUGCAAUACAGCGAUGUGGAGCGAAUCCCAAAAAGCCGGCCUCAGUUCGGAUCGUAGUCUGCAACUCGACUACGUGAAGUUGGAAUCGCUAGUAAUCGCGUAUCAGAACGACGCGGUGAAUACGUUCCCGGGCCUUGUACACACCGCCCGUCAAGUCAACCGAGUUGGUUGCACCCCAAGUCGCUGAGCUAACCCCUUCGGGGGAGGCAAGUGCC